rnacentral:rRNA from 1 species
GGAACUGAGACACGGUCCAAACUCCUACGGGAGGCAGCAGUGGGGAAUAUUGCACAAUGGGCGAAAGCCUGAUGCAGCCACGCCGCGUGAGUGAUGAAGGCCUUCGGGUCGUAAAACUCUGUCCUCAAGGAAGAUAAUGACGGUACUUGAGGAGGAAGCCCCGGCUAACUACGUGCCAGCAGCCGCGGUAAUACGGAGGGGGCUAGCGUUAUCCGGAUUUACUGGGCGUAAAGGGUGCGUAGGCGGUCUUUCAAGUCAGGAGUGAAAGGCUACGGCGCAACCGUAGUAAGCUCUUGAAACUGGGAGACUUGAGUGCAGGAGAG